UUUGCCCAAUUCUUUGAUCUCACGUAUCCAAAUAUAAACAUUCCCUCAGACAACAUGCUUGGAUGGCCAGAGGAAGGAACACUCUUUGCAAAUGUUGCAUUGUGUCUAUCUUAGAAAUCGGGAACAGCCAUGUUCAUGAGACCAAGUUUUCUCCUCUGUUUCUGAAGCAGCAAGAAGUGACGAAGCUUUUUGUUGCUGCACAAAGGAAGACACCAGAGGGUGCAAGUUCUGCCCUGGUGUGGUCCUGCAGGUCUGCAAUAGGGAUGAGAUAUGUGGAAGGCAGGGAAGUCACACAGCCUUCUUUGGUUCUGCUCUCCCUUCCCAGUUGAAGUCACUUAUAGUCUUUACACACUGGCUUAGGGUGAGAGGGGAGGCCAGGCUGGCCAGGAGCAGCCAAGCAGAGCUGUAUAUGUAUUUUUGGGGCUUUCCCAGCCAUGCAAACUCUGCUGUUGCGCAUUUAUGGUUUCAUGUACAGUACCUCCAGUAAAGAUGACUUCCUAGUUUCUUCAGAAUAAACAGAAUGUCAGAUAUGACUAAAAGCCCACUCCUCAAAGUAUUACCUGAUUACUUCUCAUGCAAUAUUAAAUUGUUUAUCAAAAAACAAUAUUAUAAGUUUCAUAUAUGAGUUCAUGCAGAGAAGCUUAAAGUGAGAACUCUCUUUGUUAAGAAUAUCUGAAAUGGCUCAAGUUGCAGACCCAGUCCCUUCUGUGGGAUAAGUCUCUCCACAUGCAUGUCUGCUUCCAUAAAUUGUGGAUCUGGCCCUGAUGCUAUAAAAGAUAAAUUUUAAUUCUGGAGCAAUUAUAAUAUAUGUCCUCUCUGGGGAGAUCCUAGAUGUUUUGUUUACCAGACUACAAAUUUCUCAGGUAUUACUGCUGCAAAAAUGCUUGUGAGCUACAGGAGUAGCUUUGUGCCAUUUGUGUCAGGAGUCUUUGUGUCAUUGUCCUGAAUGAAAUGUCACUCGACCAUCACAUAUGGGAUUUAUAGGGCAGAAUAGUUGGAAGAUGUAUUCCUUGCCAGCGGUGCCUCAGCCCUUCUCAAGAGUAAUUUAAUCACUGUUCUGCUCUUAUUAACGUGCUGCCAUUCAGCCUUUGACAAGUACCUUGUCAAUGGAGGGCAAGUGCAGUGCAGGAUUCGGUCCUUUCACUUCAAUUUUUACGGUUUCUUCUUAUAUAAACACAUUUCAAGGAGUUUUACAAAAGCUGCAUAAUUCAAGACAGCUUUUGGCAUGAUGAUAAGAACUGAAAAGAGAGCAAAAAAGAACCCUUUGCUCUGAUUUCAAAAUGGAGUAAAAAGUAUCCCACUCAUCUGAGAUGGUAAGUUCCAGAAAAGACUUCUUAGCAGCCCCCUAUCUACAUAAACAAUGAGACAAAUGAGCCAGUAUGAAGUGCUACAAAAAGCCAUGCUAGCUCCAGCCUGUACUUUUCAGAGGCUUAGAUACUGAAGAAAAAAAAAGACCCAACAAAAUAACAAAAAGAAAAAAAACCACAAAAUGCCUCUUUCUAAGCCUAGAGAUUGCUAGGAAUUUUCUGUUGGGAAUGAUCUUCCGCACAAGAAAGGGACUCUCUACAAAACUAACAUUUUUCCACUGGAAAUCACUGUUUUGGGGAAAUUGUAAGGAAAUAUUUAAUUUGAGGGCUUUUAGUUAGUUAGUUUGAGAGAUUUUUUAAACUCACACAGAACAUUUAAUUAUUAGUUCUUUAAGACAACAUUGCCAAAGUGCAGCCAUGCUGUGCUGUCUGAGAUGUGAGGCUGUAUCUCUCCUGGUUUCCAGUUGCUGUCCCACACAGGCACUGCUCUGCUCAUCCGUCAGCUCUGUGUGGAUGUCUUUGGAUGCUUUGCAGCAUCCCACUGUCCUUGGAGAGUGCAGCUGACCCAGCCAUCCCUUUACAACCUCUCUGAGGCCCGGAACUGGAACUCAUUCACUGGGGCACGCUCUGUGGAAGGCAAAGGUGAAGUGAGAUGAAUGUGGUGUGCAUCUGGCUGUUGCGCUGCAGCAGUCUGCCUGGUUUCCCAUUUACCUGCUUCACUAACUGCCUGAUCUGGUUUGGGAGCCCUGUGCAACUAGCUUAGGCUCUGCCAUGUGAACGAUCUACAGAAUUAACUUUACAUACAUUUCACGAGCUCUGGAUGGAAAAUUCAGAGCAAAAGUAUACAGAUACCUGGACAGGGUCCCAGUUCUUUGGGGAGGGCUGUGGGGAAGAUUUCAGCAAGUUUUUUCUGCUUGGGAAGAGAUAGACUGGAUAUUGUAUCCAGUGCAUGUCUUUUUUACAAAUGUUCUUGCAUUGAGUAAGUACAACCAUCCUUAAUAUAAACUCUAAAUAACCCACCACAUGGUAUGAAUCUAUAGGUAAGUAAAAUUUGCAAUGGUUCAAAUGAAGCCUGCCAGAGACUGACUUUUUUUUUUUUUUUUCCUUUUCUUUUUCUUCCUGUAAUGGAAAGUAGAAAAGUACAGCCUGGGACUUUUUACUUCUUCCAGCUAACUUUCAGUUUGACCACAGGGCGUUCAGACAGGAGUGAACCAGGCCCUAUAAAAUGCACUUGGCAAGCUAUCAGAAUGAGCAGAAGAGAUAUCCACCUGUGAAGAAUGGUGACACCGAAUACCAUCAAAACCAGCCUGAAGCCACCUUCAAUUGGGCCAGGAUUUUACUUCAACAAUUUGAAGAAGCCUUUCCCAUUUAAAUGUUCUAUGAUUCUGUAAAUGAACAAUAUUAUUCAUCUUAGGUCUGUCACAUAAAGAAGAAAAAUGUACAUAUGAGUUUAAUCCCUUCGUUGGUUUAUAACCUCAGAAUUCAGGCAGGAGAGUCACAAAUCCAUGUAGACAUCCCCAAGUGCUGACUUUUGCAUUUGGAUUUCUGAUUUAGUUGAAAAAUAUAUAAAAAACUUGUGUAGCCAGACAGCUCCCUAUUGGCUAGACAUCUGUACAGACUCAAGAGCAUCGUAUAUUUCUGCAAAGAUCUGGAAUAAAUUGUGCUCAAUGAAUUGGCCCCUCAUAUGCUUGAUUCAAACAGCGGACUCCGAUGAACUCAUGUAUCAUGGGAGUGUCAAUGGCAAAACAAUACCUCUUGGUCAAAUCUAGUGGGAGCUGCCAUCAUAAAUGUGGAAGAUGUGUGGAUCCAGGAAUAAAUAAUUUUGGAAAGAUGGAAAAAUAUUUAUAGAUCAGUAUUAGUGACUUCAAAUUACAUUCCGCUUCUUGGACAUCAGUUUUGUAUUUUGAAUUUUGAAAAUAUUUUGUAUUUUGAAAAGUAGCUUCACCCACCUGGCCUCAGCCAUCUAGAAAAGAAGUGCCUGGCCUAAGCAGUUCAUCUAGCAACAUCAUUCAUAGGGAGCUUUGUGUCAGUUUUACUAUGAAGCAUGCCACCCUGUGAAGUUGCUUGUCUCUCUAUUGACAAAAUGGAAAACACAGGCUGGUGUUUGUUAACAUCAUCCAGCUAAAAGCAGGGAUCUGCUGCUACAUAUGUACUCAGUAGGCCAUUUACCCAGCCCACAUGCAUAAACAGCAAGCAGGGGCACAAUACUGAAAACAGAUUUAUUAGUGGUCUUAUUUGUUGCUACCACAUCUUACUCUGAAGGCCUGUCUCAGCCUCUUUUGUUGGAUGAACAUGAUUCUUAUCCAUCUGACCUGACCUUUUCUUCAAUGCUAGGACAUUUGUAUGCCAUUUUUCUCCUUCAGUGUAAACAGCUGUCUGCAGCCAGUAACUCUUGAACCAACAUUCAGUCUCUCGUUCAGACACUCAGCUGAGCAUGCACCCAUGUAAACAGCUCACACAUUGUUGUGUAGAUUUUCAAACACAAAAUUUUCACUUUCUUUCAUGACGGGUUCUGCAAGAGUGGGUAAAAACUGUACACAGAUUUAUGAAUCCUGCUGUUCACCCAGUCUAAAUUUUGGCUCCACUUCAACCUCUUUCCUUUCCUGUUUUCCCAAGAACGUUCCGCCUGGAAGCCAGGUUCAUUAAUGAAAAGUUCAAAAUUAUCCAGGGACUCUCCCAUCUUCCUCGCCAGCUCACGUCCUUGCUGGGAGCCUUGCAGAUCUGCCCCUACCAAGACAGGCUCAUUUCCAGCCACUCUGGUCAGAGCCAGUUCCUACUCCUGCCACCUGAUAUCCUGCAUGCAGCACAAGAUUGAGUCUCGCAGCUCUUUUAAGCUUGGUUUCCUCCCUCUGAACUCCUUUCUGAACUUAGGUAACCCAUAAUGUUUCCCAGAAGAUCCAAUUAUGAGUCACUUACUUUUAACACAUGAACCAUCCUUCAGCACAUCUGCAAGCUGUAGCUAUAGCCCAGGUGAGACUAAGCCUGUAGCAACUCCUUCAUGCCACAAAAUGUGUAUUUAGAUUUCUGGAACUUAUACCGUUCUUAUAUCCCUGCUUCUAAAGAUACAGGACUAUAUUUAUUCAUGAUUUUAAAUAAAUAUUUCCAUUUGUUCCUGGCAAAAAUAAAUACUGCUACUGUUUGGUUAGUUGUGGCAACACUCUGAUGAACAUUAUAAAUUGGCAUGUGUAUUGCUAAGAAAAAUGAUGCCCCAUCUCCUACCGCUUGUGCCUGCCUCAGCAUCCCUCCUCUGUGCAAGCACAGCAGCUGUAUAUCUGCAAAAACAAGCUUCCAUGGGGAAAAAAUCCAUCUGGAGACUUUUUUUUUUUUUUUUUUUUUUUUUUUUUCUGGGUAAAUUUAAGCCUAGAUCAUCAUCUUACUCCAGUUCAGUGUACAGAUGUGAUGGAUGAGGCAGUGCAGAAGUGGGCAAAGCAAUACUGGGGAUAGGUGGGACUAUGUCUUCCAGCACCCAUGCCAUUUUGUACAGGCUUGUGCUUUCAUUGAAAUGCAGGCUAAAUUAAAUUGUCUGAAAAUGCCCUCAAGGAAAGGCGAAUUGUAUUUCAAGGUCCUAGAAAAUAAAUAAAAUAUUAAUGAAGUUAU